rnacentral:rRNA from 1 species
CAUGCUUCCAAGAAAAGCAUCUAGAGAGAGAAGUAGUGCCCGUACCGCAAACCGACACAGGUAGAUGAGGAGAGAAUCCUAAGGCCGGCGGAAGAAUUGCAGUUAAGGAACUAGGCAAAUUGACCCCGUAAGUUAGCGAGAAGGGGUGCCUGCGAGAGCAGGCCGCAGAGAAUAGGCCCAAGCAACUGUUUAGCAAAAACACAGGUCUCUGCUAAAGCGCAAGCUGAUGUAUAGGGGCUGACGCCUGCCCGGUGCUGGAAGGUUAAGGGGAACACUUAGCGCAAGCGAAGGUGUGAACUUAAGCCCCAGUAAACGGCGGCCGUAACAAUAACGGUCCUAAGGUAGCGAAAUUCCUUGUCAGGUAAGUUCUGACCCGCACGAAUGGCGUAAUGACUUGGGCACUGUCUCAACUGCAAAUCCGGCGAAGUUGUAGUGCGAGUGAAGAUGCUCGCUACCCGCGAUUGGACGGAAAGACCCCGUAGAGCUUUACUGUAGCUUAGCAUUGAAUUCCGGUAUUGUCUGUACAGGAUAGGUGGGAGACUGGGAAACUAGGGCGUCAGCCUUAGUGGAGUCGUCCUUGGGAUACCACCCUGACAGUACUGGGGUUCUAACAGGACGCCAUGAAUCUGGUGACUGGACAUUGUUAGGUGGGCAGUUUGACUGGGGCGGUCGCCUCCUAAAAAGUAACGGAGGCGCCCAAAGGUUCCCUCAGAACGGUCGGAAAUCGUUCGUAGAGUGCAAAGGCAGAAGGGAGCCUGACUGCGAGACCUACAAGUCGAGCAGGGACGAAAGUCGGGCUUAGUGAUCCGGUGGUACCUCGUGGGAGGGCCAUCGCUCAACGGAUAAAAGCUACCUCGGGGAUAACAGGCUGAUCUCCCCCAAGAGUCCACAUCGACGGGGAGGUUUGGCACCUCAAUGUCGGCUCGUCGCAUCCUGGGGCUGUAGUAGGUCCCAAGGGUUGGGCUGUUCGCCCAUUAAAGCGGCACGCGAGCUGGGUUCAGAACGUCGUGAGACAGUUCGGUCCCUAUCCGUCGCGGGCGUAGGAAAUUUGAGAGGAGCUGUCCUUAGUACGAGAGGACCGGGAUGGACUGACCUCUGGUGCACCAGUUGUUCUGCCAAGAGCAUGGCUGGGUAGCUAAGUCGGGAAGGGAUAAACGCUGAAAGCAUCUAAGCGUGAAGCCUCCCUCAAGAUGAGAUUUCCCAUAGCAUAAGCUAGUAAGACCCCUUGAAGAACACGAGGUUGAUAGGUCAGAGGUGUAAGUAUGGUAACAUAUUUAGCUGACUGAUACUAAUAGGUCGAGGGCUUGACCU